GCCAGAGGUGGCAAUCGUUGCUCGGAUUUACUGGGCUUAAAGGGCGCGUAGGCGGUCUCGCAAGUCUAAGGUGGAAUUCCACAGCUUAACUGUGGAACUGCCCUGGAAACUACGAGACUUGAGUCAGGUAGAGGGAGGCGGAAUUCCCGGUGUAGCGGUGAAAUGCGUAGAUAUCGGGAGGAAGGCCGGUGGCGAAGGCGGCCUCCCGGGCCUGUACUGACGCUGAAGCGCGAAAGCGUGGGGAGCAAACAGG
rnacentral:rRNA from 1 species